rnacentral:rRNA from 1 species
UACGGAGGGUGCAAGCGUUAUCCGGAUUCACUGGGUUUAAAGGGUGCGUAGGUGGGUCUGUAAGUCUGUGGUGAAAUCUCUGAGCUUAACUCGGAAACUGCCAUGGAUACUAUAGAUCUUGAAUACCGUGGAGAUAGCGGAAUAUGUCAUGUAGCGGUGAAAUGCUUAGAUAUGACAUAGAACACCAAUUGCGAAGGCAGCUGUCUACCCGAAUAUUGACACUGAGGCACGAAAGCGUGGGGAUCAAACAGG